rnacentral:rRNA from 1 species
GUCUUUUUGGGGAAAUUGAAAGUCGUGCCUGCCCACUGGGGUGAAUUGAAGGGCCGCGGUAUUUUGACCGUGCAAAGGUAGCAUAAUCAUUAGUCUUUUAAUUGUAGGCUAGAAUGAAUGGUUUGACGAAAUAAUUAUUGUCUCAUAAUGAAAUAUUGAAUUUUACUUUUAAGUUAAAAGGCUAAAGUGUUAAUGAGGGACGAGAAGACCCUAUAGAUCUUUAUAUUUUUUAAUAUAUUAAUUAUUAUUAGUUGUUUAAUUAUUUAUGAUGGGGAAUAUUUUAUUGGGGUGAUAAGAGAAUAAAAGAACUUCUAUUUGAUAGACUUUGAUAGAUGGUUUAUAUGAUCCUUUAAUAUGGAAUGUAGAUUAAGAUACCUUAGGGAUAACAGCGUAAUUUUAUUGGAGAGUUCUUAUUGAUAAUAAAGAUUGCGACCUCGAUG